rnacentral:rRNA from 1 species
UACGGGGGGGGCAAGCGUUGUCCGGAUUUAUUGGGCGUAAAGAGCGUGUAGGCGGCCAGGUAGGUCUGCUGUGAAAACUCGAGGCUCAACCUCGAGCUGUCGGUGGAAACUGUCUGGCUAGAGUCCGGAAGAGGAGAAUGGAAUUCCUGGUGUAGCGGUGGAAUGCGCAGAUAUCAGGAGGAACACCGGUGGCGAAGGCGGUUCUCUGGGCAUUACCUGACGCUGAGGAGCGAAAGUGUGGGAGGCGAACAGG